rnacentral:lncRNA from 1 species
GGAAUUAUGUGUUGCUGAGCUGUCCCACGUGAUUGGAGUGCAACAAGACUUGUGUUUGACUUGGUCUUCAAAUUCUGCAGAUCUGCUGGUUUUCUGGUUGCUGGUGCUGUUUGCCCGACAUUGUUUGGGCAAACAGGCUGUCUAUCGUGGCUGUUGUCUGCGUGCCUGGUCCUUGUCUCUGUCUUGCUCCGCUGUUUGCCCAAACAGUCUUGGGCAAACAGUCUGGUCAGUCAG